rnacentral:lncRNA from 1 species
GACCAGGGCUCCAAAUGAGUCCAAAUGGGUACUGUUUAGAGCAAGACACUAACCGGGACACUGCUGACACUUGGGGCCAGACCAUCCUCUGUGGUGGUGGGGCCAUUCUGGGGACUCUGGCCUGCCCCCCAAAUGCCACAGCAACCCCCAUCUCCUCUGUGAUGACCCAACAUUUCUGCAGAUUUUGCCAAGUAUCUCCUGGAGUGGCAGCCAUGUCAACCCCAGUCUGA